UUUCAAAAACGUUUAUUAAAGGCGUUAGUCUAAGAACUUUAUUUAAGAUCAUUCUAGUAAAUAUUUUUAUAUUUUUUUAAUUCUAUUUAAUAUGUUAAUUACCCUAUAAUGUUAUAUAUAGUAGCAUAGUAAUUUGUUAAUUAAUUAUUAAAGUGUUCCAUAGAAAAUUUUAAAAUUAAAGCAAUACGUGUAAUAUAUAAAUUAAAAUAAAGAUUUUAAAAAAAGUCAAAUCAUUAAAAUAGGGCAAGUCCUACUCUCCUUUACAAAGAGACCAUAUAAUAUGUAUUUGUAUGUUUGAUUGGGGCAAUACUAUAUUUAAAUAUAUAGAAAAAGAACUAUAAUUAUUGAAAUAAUAAAAGGUUCGAGCAGGUUAACAAGCAUCAAAAAAAAUGUGUUUCAUCGUCUACUUAUUAUUAUAAUUGAUUGUUCAUCAAAAGUAUAAUUCGUUAGUUGGGUUAAAAUCGUUGUAAAGCAGAUUUGUUUAUAUAUUUAAUGUAUAUAUAUAAAAUAAAUUACAUUAGUACGCAAGGAUCAUUUAUUAGAUAACUUAUUAUAAAU
rnacentral:rRNA from 1 species